GACGAACGCUGGCGGCGUGCUUAACACAUGCAAGUCGAACGGAAAGGCCUCUUUCGGGGGGUACUCGGGUGGCGAACGGGUGAGUAACACGUGAGUAACCUGCCCUUGACUUUGGGAUAACUUCAGGAAACUGGGGCUAAUACCGGAUAGGAGCUCCUGCUGCAUGGUGGGGGUUGGAAGGUUUCGGCGGUUGGGGAUGGACUCGCGGCUUAUCAGCUUGUUGGUGGGGUAGUGGCUUACCAAGGCUUUGACGGGUAGCCGGCCUGAGAGGGUGACCGGCCACAUUGGGACUGAGAUACGGCCCAGACUCCUACGGGAGGCAGCAGUGGGGAAUAUUGCACAAUGGGUGGAAGCCUGAUGCAGCAACGCCGUGUGCGGGAUGACGGCCUUCGGGUUGUAAACCGCUUUCGCUCAUGACGAAGCUUUGUGUGACGGUAGUGGGUAAAGAAGCACCGGCUAACUACGUG
rnacentral:rRNA from 1 species